rnacentral:rRNA from 1 species
UACGGAGGGUGCAAGCGUUAUCCGGAUUUACUGGGUUUAAAGGGUGCGCAGGCGGAUAUGUAAGUCAGUGGUGAAAUCUCCGGGCUUAACCCGGAAAUUGCCGUUGAUACUAUAUAUCUUGAAUGCUGUGGAGGUAAGCAGAAUAUGUCAUGUAGCGGUGAAAUGCUUAGAUAUGACAUAGAAUACCUAUUGCGAAGGCAGCUUACUACGCAGAUAUUGACGCUCAUGCACGAAAGCGUGGGGAUCAAACAGG